UAGGGAAUCUUCGGCAAUGGACGGAAGUCUGACCGAGCAACGCCGCGUGAGUGAAGAAGGUUUUCGGAUUGUAAAGCUCUGUUGUAAGAGAAGAACGAGUGUGAGAGUGGAAAGUUCACACUGUGACGGUAUCUUACCAGAAAGGGACGGCUAACUACGUGCCAGCAGCCGCGGUAAUACGUAGGUCCCGAGCGUUGUCCGGAUUUAUUGGGCGUAAAGCGAGCGCAGGCGGUUAGAUAAGUCUGAAGUUAAAGGCUGUGGCUUAACCAUAGUACGCUUUGGAAACUGUUUAACUUGAGUGCAAGAGGGGAGAGUGGAAUUCCAUGUGUAGCGGUGAAAUGCGUAGAUAUAUGGAGGAACACCGGUGGCGAAAGCGGCUCUCUGGCUUGUAACUGACGCUGAGGCUCGAGAGCGUGGGGAGCAAACAGGAUUAGAUACCCUGGUAGUCCACGCCGUAAACGAUGAGUGCUAGGUGUUAGACCCUUUCCGGGGUUUAGUGCCGCAGCUAACGCAUUAAGCACUCCGCCUGGGGAGUACGACCGCAAGGUU
rnacentral:rRNA from 1 species